rnacentral:rRNA from 1 species
CCUACGGGUGGCAGCAGUGGGGAAUAUUGGACAAUGGGCGAAAGCCUGAUCCAACCAUGCCGCGUGUGUGAAGAAGGCCUUCGGGUUGUAAAGCACUUUCAGUGGGGAAGAAAGCCUUGGGGCUAAUACCCUCGAGGAAGGACAUCACCCACAGAAGAAGCACCGGCUAACUCCGUGCCAGCAGCCGCGGUAAUACGGAGGGUGCGAGCGUUAAUCGGAAUUACUGGGCGUAAAGCGCGCGUAGGCGGUCUGAUAAGCCGGUUGUGAAAGCCCCGGGCUCAACCUGGGAACGGCAUCCGGAACUGUCAGGCUAGAGUGCAGGAGAGGAAGGUAGAAUUCCCGGUGUAGCGGUGAAAUGCGUAGAGAUCGGGAGGAAUACCAGUGGCGAAGGCGGCCUUCUGGACUGACACUGACGCUGAGGUGCGAAAGCGUGGGUAGCAAACAGGAUUAGAUACCCCGGUAGU